GAUGAACGCUAGCGGCAGGCCUAACACAUGCAAGUCGAGGGGUAGAGGAAGCUUGCUUCCUUGAGACCGGCGCACGGGUGCGUAACGCGUAUGCAAUCUACCUUUUACAGAGGGAUAGCCCAGAGAAAUUUGGAUUAAUACCUCAUAGUAUAUAUCAUUCGCAUGUUUGGUAUAUUAAAGUUCCAACGGUAAAAGAUGAGCAUGCGUCCCAUUAGUUAGUUGGUAAGGUAACGGCUUACCAAGACGAUGAUGGGUAGGGGUCCUGAGAGGGAGAUCCCCCACACGGGUACUGAGACACGGACCAGACUCCUACGGGAGGCAGCAGUGAGGAAUAUUGGUCAAUGGACGCAAGUCUGAGCCAGCCAUGCCGCGUGCAGGAAGACGGUCCUAUGGAUUGUAAACUGCUUUUGUACGGGAAGAAACACUCCUACGUGUAGGAGCCUGACGGUACCGUAAGAAUAAGGAUCGGCUAACUCCGUGCCAGCAGCCGCCGUAAGAC
rnacentral:rRNA from 1 species